rnacentral:rRNA from 1 species
GAUGAACGCUGGCGGCGUGCCUAAUACAUGCAAGUCGAGCGAACGGACGAGAAGCUUGCUUCUCUGAUGUUAGCGGCGGACGGGUGAGUAACACGUGGAUAACCUACCUAUAAGACUGGGAUAACUUCGGGAAACCGGAGCUAAUACCGGAUAAUAUUUUGAACCGCAUGGUUCAAAAGUGAAAGACGGUCUUGCUGUCACUUAUAGAUGGAUCCGCGCUGCAUUAGCUAGUUGGUAAGGUAACGGCUUACCAAGGCAACGAUGCAUAGCCGACCUGAGAGGGUGAUCGGCCACACUGGAACUGAGACACGGUCCAGACUCCUACGGGAGGCAGCAGUAGGGAAUCUUCCGCAAUGGGCGAAAGCCUGACGGAGCAACGCCGCGUGAGUGAUGAAGGUCUUCGGAUCGUAAAACUCUGUUAUUAGGGAAGAACAUAUGUGUAAGUAACUGUGCACAUCUUGACGGUACCUAAUCAGAAAGCCACGGCUAACUACGUGCCAGCAGCCGCGGUAAUACGUAGGUGGCAAGCGUUAUCCGGAAUUAUUGGGCGUAAAGCGCGCGUAGGCGGUUUUUUAAGUCUGAUGUGAAAGCCCACGGCUCAACCGUGGAGAGUCAUUGGAAACUGGAAAACUUGAGUGCAGAAGAGGAAAGUGGAAUUCCAUGUGUAGCGGUGAAAUGCGCAGAGAUAUGGAGGAACACCAGUGGCGAAGGCGACUUUCUGGUCUGUAACUGACGCUGAUGUGCGAAAGCGUGGGGAUCAAACAGGAUUAGAUACCCUGGUAGUCCACGCCGUAAACGAUGAGUGCUAAGUGUUAGGGGGUUUCCGCCCCUUAGUGCUGCAGCUAACGCAUUAAGCACCCCGCCUGGGGAGUACGACCGCAAGGUUGAAACUCAAAGGAAUUGACGGGGACCCGCACAAGCGGUGGAGCAUGUGGUUUAAUUCGAAGCAACGCGAAGAACCUUACCAAAUCUUGACAUCCUUUGACAACUCUAGAGAUAGAGCCUUCCCCUUCGGGGGGGCAAAGUGACAGGUGGUGCAUGGUUGUCGUCAGCUCGUGUCGUGAGAUGUUGGGUUAAGUCCCGCAACGAGCGCAACCCUUAAGCUUAGUUGCCAUCAUUAAGUUGGGCACUCUAAGUUGACUGCCGGUGACAAACCGGAGGAAGGUGGGGAUGACGUCAAAUCAUCAUGCCCCUUAUGAUUUGGGCUACACACGUGCUACAAUGGACAAUACAAAGGGCAGCGAAACCGCGAGGUCAAGCAAAUCCCAUAAAGUUGUUCUCAGUUCGGAUUGUAGUCUGCAACUCGACUACAUGAAGCUGGAAUCGCUAGUAAUCGUAGAUCAGCAUGCUACGGUGAAUACGUUCCCGGGUCU